AUUGAACGCUGGCGGCAGGCCUAACACAUGCAAGUCGAGCGCGAGGCGGACGGGUGAGUAAUGUCUGGGAAACUGCCUGAUGGAGGGGGAUAACUACUGGAAACGGUAGCUAAUACCGCAUACCCUCAGAUGUGCCCAGAUGGGAUUUGCUAGUAGGUGGGGUAACGGCUCACCUAGGCGACGAUCCCUAGCUGGUCUGAGAGGAUGACCAGCCACACUGGAACUGAGACACGGUCCAGACGCCUACGGGAGGCAGCAGUGGGGAAUAUUGCACAAUGGGCGCAAGCCUUAUGCAGCCAUGCCGCGUGUGUGAAGAAGGCCUUCGGGUUGUAAAGCACUUUCAGCGGGGAGGCAUUACCCGCAGAAGAAGCACCGGCUAACUCCGUGCCAGCAGCCGCGGUAAUUC
rnacentral:rRNA from 1 species